rnacentral:lncRNA from 1 species
UUUUUUUUUUUUUUUUUUUUUUGUCUUUUUUUAGGUCCGCAUCCGUGGCAUAUGAAAGUUCCCAGGCUGGCAGCAUCAGCUCCACUUCAACCCCUAGCCUGGGAACCUCCAUAUUCCAUAGGUGCGGCCAUCAAAGAAAGAAAGAAAAACCGAAAAGAUUUAAAAAAAGAAAAGCCACAGGCAAUUGCUCUUCUGGCAGCUGGGGCAGGACCCCCUUCGUAGUGUCCUGGGCCACAACUAAACUGUGACUCUGCUCUCCUGUAUUCAGCAGGGGGUUACACAGAAAAACUCCUCUCCCUGAUUCCUCCCCUCCCACCCUGCUUGGGGAUUUUUCUUUUUUUUUUUUCUUUUUUUUCUUUUUUUUUUUGCAUCAGACAGCAGUCAGCUGCAGCUGCAGGCACAUCUCUGGCUGCCUGGCGUACUGUUGUUCAACACACUGGGGGAGUUCCUGUCGUGGCGCAGUGGUUAACGAAUCCGACUAGGAACCAUGAGGUUGCGGGUUCGGUCCCUGCCUUUGCUCAGUGGGUUAAGGACCUGGCAUUGCCGUAAGCUGUGGUGUAGGUUGCAGACGCAGCUCGCAUCCCGCGUUGCUGUGGCUCUGGCGUAGGCCUGUGGCUACAGCUCCAAUUCGACCCCUAGCCUGGGAACCUCCAUAUGCCGCGGGAGCGGCCCAAAGAAAUAGCAAAAAGACAAAAAAAAAAAAAAAAAAAACAAAAAACAAAAAACACUGGGGAAAGCUGUGUCUGGAGUCUGAGUCUGGGAGCAAAUAAAUAGAAAAAACAAAAAAACAAAAACCGGGUACCUGCAGUGGGGUGACGAGGUCAAGAAAAAAACCGGGAGCCAGGCAAGGAAGUUCUGUCGUUGACUCAGCUCAGCAUUUGGGGAAAUCCUACCCUUCUAAUCGCCACCAUUCCCAGACUCCAAGACCCCCCAGCCCCAAUCCCACCAGGCUUAUCAGUGAGCAUCAGAGGCUGUGGUUGAUGCUGGCAAUUUCUACUCCCAGGGUUUAAGAGUUGGAAAGAGCUGUUUGAGUCUAGUUUUUUUGCUGGUUUGUUUAGGUGGUCUGCAUCCCUGCAUCCGCGCUCUCUUGCUUCUUGCAUUCUGGGUUCUGUACUGGGCAUUGGAAACGCAUUUGAACUGAAAUCAAUGGUGCAAAAGACCUUUGGGAAUCCCGGUGGCGGUUUAGAGCCACCUGAGGUUUCAUCUUCCAAAACCGAGUCUCAGACCCCUUGGAGAAUGUAAAGGCGGAAAGGGGCUCUGAGGCUGCCUAGUUUACCCUUCAGCUGUGUGGGUUUGGAGACACCCUUUAACCUUGAUGACUCUGAUGUGCAGGAUGGGGAAAUACUGACACCGGCUUCAUAAAACUGGAGAUUAAAAGCGUCAACACAGAUAAGGAACUUUAACAGGGCCAGGCAUCUGGAAAGUUCCCAAUACAUUUUUAGCCUCCAACCCUCCCAAAUCAAUCAUGUCUACUUAAAAUGUGAAGCAGUAAUAGUUCACCUUUCAUCUCCUCUUGAUCAAGCCUCUUCCUGUCUUAGGAAAAGAUUGUACAUCACCAGCCUAAACAUAACCUUUGUAAUUGAGCAGAGUUAGAUUUUGUCCAGAUUUAAUCGAUUCCAUAGGUAAAGAUUCCAUAGGUAAAGAUCGAUUCCAUAGGUAAAGAUCAAACUGAGACGUCUUGGGUUUUCCCCAUCAUUAGGACUUUGAAUAUUCCAUUUGCUGAGUGACUAUUAGAUGCCAGACUCUGCAGUAAGUGCUUUACAUGAUUAGGUGUCAUCUUCCCAACAGGUAGGAGGUAGGUACUGUUAUUCGUUUCACGUAACCUAACAUCAGAGAGGUCAGCGGACAUUUCAAGUUUGCAAGACCCUAAGCUAUAGGAUUCAGAACAUGGCUUGCAGAUUCCAGAGAUAACCUCUUAGUUGCAAUGCUCCAUUGCCUCUGUUUGUUCAGUAACUUAGAAAAGAAUGGUGAGUGAUACCUUGUAUCUCCCUGUUUUUUAUGGGGUGACAGUGAGGGAGAGAAGGAGCUGUUGGCACAGGCAGGAGGGGUGAUUCAGUGCCAGAGGAGCAUGGAGAAUCGGAGAUGCAUUUGAGCAGCAAGUCUGAGACCCCAGAGUCUGUUUGCUUCCGUAUUUUUAUCCCUAAGCUCUGUUGGUUUCCCUGGAGGGUGGAUUGUUUGAGGUUUCACUCAGCUCGGGGCUCAGGAGUCAGUCUCUAAUAGUAAAUGUUCAGCUUGUGGCUGAAAAUGGUCUUUCAGAUGCUCGUGGGCUUCAUGAGUCACUGAUGAUGGAGGUUUUCAGCCACUUGAUGGGAAGAUUUCCUGGGAUGUGUUUUCCGAUAUUUUUAGGGCUAGAGUAUAUUCUCAGAAUGAGAGAAGCCCCCAAAUGUUGUGUCUUGUUAGCCUCAUGCUUGUAUUAACUGUGCCUUGCCAUGGGUAUAAGGAGUCAAUGAAAAUCACUUUGUCCAGGAAGGAUCAUUCCCUUACAUCCUGUGGACUUUUAUUCCUAUUGUCUCUUGUUGGCUGCUUCCAUAAUUAAGUAGUUUUACAGACUUUCAGUCGGCUAAUCCCUUCUAUCCCAAAUGGAUCUGGUGUGUCGUAAGACGUCCAGGAUUUGACAGCCUACUAUGUGAGCCUUAUGGCACCUUCUAAGCCAACAAAAACCUUUGAGGACAUUUAAAAAUACACUUGAAGCAAUUUAAUACUAUUUAUAUCGAUUUCAAAGCUUCAUCUGGUGCUCAAAAUUAACACUGGGAUAUUAGAUCAUUAAAUUAAUGGGAUGUGAUCUAUGGCCUCCAAGAUUUCAAAACCACCAUCCUUUUAAUUGUUAAUUAGGGAAGGUAGUGAUCAUGGAGCAUGGGGAACAGUUUUGCUUAUUUUCAAUGUGUUGUGUGUGAUUAUGUGAAUUAUUAACUCUGAGUGGCAUUCAAUUUCGUUCAUUUCUGGGGCUUUAUGAACUAUUUCCAGCCUGCAUCUGUUCCUGUUUUCAAUUCAAAAAUAUGACGUAUAGAGUUCAGCUUGUACCUUGUGAUGAAAAUAAGAAGGAAAAAAAAAAAAAA